rnacentral:rRNA from 1 species
AUAAUGGAGAGUUUGAUCCUGGCUCAGGAUAAACGCUAGCGGCAGGCCUAACACAUGCAAGUCGAGGGGGAUUAUUAGAAACAGCUUGCUGUUUUUGAUAAGAGACCGGCGCACGGGUGCGUAACGCGUAUGCAACCUACCAUUAACAAGAGGAUAACUCUGAGAAAUUGGAACUAAUACUCUAUAAUAUCGAGAUAGGCAUCUAUAUCGGUUGAAAGCUACGGUGGUUAAUGAUGGGCAUGCGUUGUAUUA